UUCUGCCCUAUGAUUAGUUAAAUGGCUGCAGUAUUCUGACUGUGCAAAGGUAGCAUAAUAAUUAGUCUUUUAAUUGAAGGCUUGUAUGAAUGAAUAGAUGGGGGAUUUAUUUUAUUUUUUAUAAUUUUAUAAUUUGAUUAUUAAGUAAGAAAUCUUAUUCUAUUAUCUGGGACGAUAAGACCCUAUAGAACUUUAUAUUUAUUUAGUUAAGUUAGUUUAUUAGUUUUUAAAAAUUUUGUAAUUAGUAAUUAUUUUACUGGGGCGGUAGAUAAAUUUGACUUUAUUUUAAUUAUUCAUUAAUUAGUGUUUUUGUUGAUCCAAUUAUGAUUAUAAGAUAAGUUACCUUAGGGAUAACAGCGUAAUUUUAAUGGGGAGUUCUUAUUUAUAUUAAAGUUUGCGACCUCGAUGUUGAAUUAAGAUUAUAAUAAGGGGUAG
rnacentral:rRNA from 1 species